UAGAAGCCGGCGUACCUCAGGCAGGAGAACGACAAGGCCUCGCUCCACAGCUUCAGCCCAGAGGGGCACUGUGGACGUCAAGGAGGAUUUGGAGUUCUUGCUCAUCGCCGCAGAGUCAACGGGCCAUGGCGAGAGGGGGCCGAACAGAGACAGGGAAUACCGAAAUAGGGGGGAAUGGGUACUGCCGCAAGCUGCUUUUCAGCAACGACGAGGCGGGGUCAUCGGUGAGGGGUGCGCAGGAGGAGUCAUCCACUAUCACCAUGUCAUCAUCCUUGGAAGAGGUGGACCACGUAGGGCCCUGCUCGACUACCUCAAAUUCGUUCACCUGGCUGCGGCAACGUCUGCAACUACAUCCGCUCCAAUUCCGUCCCCUACUGUCCACAAGUGCCUCAUCAAUGGAGGAUGCACACCAAGUGUUUGAUGAUUUGCCUGUGCAAAACUAACGUGUGAUCUUGGCCAUGGAGGUGCACGCCGUAUGUUUGAUGGUUUGCCUGACAAGAGGAGUCCUACUUGAUGAAAACAGAAGGACACGUUCAGGCUACUUGCCUUGUCUAAGGCAAUGAUUACAGGUAGAAUAUGAAUCUUAUUUUUUGAAGCAAUAAAUUUAACAAGCUAAGAUACCUUGGACAUGUCCCUACGCCAGUCUUAUGUCAAGUUCAGCAUACUACAUAUCUGCAUUUACAAAUAGACAAUGAUUCUUUAUCCUUUGGCUUUUAUUAAUCAUGUCCGGAUUUCUGCACAAAUGUGAAUAGAAGUGACUACAUAUGCAGCUGACAAGGAGUCCUACUUGAUGAAAACAAGAAGACACAUUCAGGCUAUUUGCAUUGCCUAAUGUAAUAAUUCUACCUCGGAUAUGAAUCUUAUUUUUCAAGCACUAAAUUUAACAAGCAAAAAGUACCUUGGACAUGCGCAUAUGCUUUUCUUAUGUCAAGUUCAGAGCAAACUACAAAUUUGCAUUGACAAAGGAAAAAUGAUUCUUUAUUCUCUGGCCUUUACGAUUAAGCUGACCGUAUGUGUUUGUGACAUCGUGUAGUCUAAUAUAACCAUACUUCUCACCAUACUAUUAUGGAUUUUCUAGCCUGGAUCAAUACCACUAGCUGUAGCUAAAGAUGGUUUGCCACACCCUCACAGGUGAAAUCAACAAACACAAUCAUUAUGCUUCUUGCUCCUUCUGCUAAAUGCUCUUAUAUAUCUGCAGAAGAAUACUCAAGCAUUUGACAUUUAUGAUUUAUCUCUAUUAAAAGCUCUUACAUAACUGCAUGUGAAUACUCAACCACUUGACAUGUUCCCUUUAAUAUCGCAAGGAAAUAAAAUUUCAGUUGUCAUAUUUGAUUUGUUAAUUUUGACAUAGAUAUUAUUGAUUUACUUUCCAAUUGGUUACAAGGCUCUUUGAGAUAAAGCUCUGCACAAGAUCUUUUUCCUAUGAUGAUGUACUACUAGCUUUUGUGGUGGCUGCUUACAAUCGAGCUGUUGUGCUUUCUGUGUAAUGACACACCCCUGUAUUGAUGGCUAAAAGUUCUUAUGUUUUUAGUUCCUGCUCAUUUUUUUUCUUCCUUUCUUUUUUUUUCCCACCACUUCAUUCAUUCCUAUUUACUUCAGUUAGCAUGAUCUAUAUACCUCCCUAAUGCAGUAUGAUACGAGUAGUGUUUUCGAUGUGUAUAGUGUACCAAAGAAAAAAAUAGCUGAUUGCAAGCUGACAGUUAUGAAGCUACUCUUGUGGUGUUCAGGUUUUGCAGCAUCUCACUCUCACCUUAAGCGAGGAGAAGAAUCCUUUUUUUAGGAAAACUUUUUUUUAUUCUAUUACCAAUUCAUUGCUUCUUUGUUUAUGCCAAGACUAAUGCUUCUGUGUUUUGCUUUGUGGUUUAAUUGAUUUUGAUAUAUUUUUUUAAUACGAAAGAGUAUAUGAAAUAUAUAUUCUCUUUCUUUACCUGACAACAAUUAUUGCCUCCUUUUGACAAUUUAUUUGAUGUAUCUGUUGCUUCUUGCAAUUUUGAUUCUACUACCUCCACUAAUCUAUGAGUUAUGUACUCUAAAUUUUGUACAACUAUAUGCAACUUUUACAUUAAUUUACACCUUGAUUGAUUGAUUUGGUUUCUGCAGGUUGCGUGGCUCAUCUUGAAGAAUAUAGUCUACUAAACUAAAUAUACAAGGUACGUUGCCAAUCGACACAAUCCUUACAUACCUUCUUUUUUAUAGGUGUUGGUGCAAAUAAAGGCAUUCAAAUGGCCAUGAUGAUGGAAUGACAAGGGACAGGGAAAUGCCUACAUGGCUCAGUUUGAGGAACUAAAACCGGAAGACCACCCUUGAAGCAAAGCAAAAGACUCCACACUUGAUUCUGGCUUCUACCGAUUAAUAACAUAGGCUCCUAUGUAUUCAUAUAUAGCAUAAAUAAAUGUACCUUGAUGUUGUAAAGUUGAUGUCAAUGUAACUACUCCCUCCGUCGUGUAUUGUAGGGCAUUGUAGCAAUUUUAUGAUAGAUUAAGGAGACGAGAAAAUAAUGCAUGUAUCCCCGUUUAA